ACGUUAGCGGCGGACGGGUGAGUAACACGUGGGUAACCUACCUAUAAGACUGGGAUAACUUCGGGAAACCGGAGCUAAUACCGGAUAAUAUUUCGAACCGCAUGGUUCGAUAGUGAAAGAUGGUUUUGCUAUCACUUAUAGAUGGACCCGCGCCGUAUUAGCUAGUUGGUAAGUUAACGGCUUACCAAGGCGACGAUACGUAGCCGACCUGAGAGGGUGAUCGGCCACACUGGAACUGAGACACGGUCCAGACUCCUACGGGAGGCAGCAGCG
rnacentral:rRNA from 1 species